rnacentral:rRNA from 1 species
GACGAACGCUGGCGGCGUGCUUAACACAUGCAAGUUGAGCGGAAAGGCCCUGCUUUUGUGGGGUGCUCGAGUGGCGAACGGGUGAGUAACACGUGAGUAACCUGCCCUUGACUUUGGGAUAACUUCAGGAAACUGGGGCUAAUACCGGAUAGGAGCUCCUGCUGCAUGGUGGGGGUUGGAAAGUUUCGGCGGUUGGGGAUGGACUCGCGGCUUAUCAGCUUGUUGGUGGGGUAGUGGCUUACCAAGGCUUUGACGGGUAGCCGGCCUGAGAGGGUGACCGGCCACAUUGGGACUGAGAUACGGCCCAGACUCCUACGGGAGGCAGCAGUGGGGAAUAUUGCACAAUGGGCGGAAGCCUGAUGCAGCAACGCCGCGUGCGGGAUGACGGCCUUCGGGUUGUAAACCGCUUUCGCCUGUGACGAAGCGUGAGUGACGGUAAUGGGUAAAGAAGCACCGGCUAACUACGUG